CAGACAGAGUCUUGCUCUGUCGCCCAGGCUGGAGGGCAGUGGUGCGAUCCUGGGUCAUGGCAAGCUCUACCUCACAGGUUCAACCUAUUUUUGUGCUUCUGCCUACCAAGUAGCUGGGAUUACCGUGCCACCACACUCGUAUAAUUUAUUUCUGGAGGCUGGAAAUCCAAGAUCAGAGCGCCAACAAGAUGUGGUUCUGGUGGAUCUCUCUUCUUGUAUCCUCACGUGGCAGAAAGAGGCCCCUCUGGGAAGGCAAUUGUCUGGCAUAAUCAUACAUCUGUGCAAUCCUGGGAAAGGUCAUCACUGCAGGAGACAGGUUGAUUUCCCCGUAGACUUGUAGAGCUUCCCAUGAUGCUGGAAAUGUGCCUGCAUUCCAUUCAGGCAGACAGAUGUCCCUGAAGGCCCGAGGGACACCAGCCGCUAUGCCAGUCUCCAAGGAACCUGAGGGAAACCAACGCUGGUCCCGGUCUUUGAGGACUCCCCAGCGCAGUGAGGGAGACCGACAGGUAAGUAGGCAGUGUCCACGCCUGGGGAAGAGGCUGUAAGGGAGACACCGCAGGCACUGGCAGGGCUCCCUACGGAACAAUCAGGGAAGACAUCCUGAAGAAGGGGGCAUUGGGGUGAGGCCUCUCCCCAUGUCAUGAGGCCAAGCCCAAU